AACUUUUGUCUCUUGUGUCCAGGUGUUGACGCCUCAGUCCCCAGUUCCUCGAGAAUAGAAAUCUAACACAAGAGAUGUUCGUUCAACAAGUUAUAAAAUCACACAUGAACAAGAAAGAUGUUCUUGUCUCACUCCUUAUUGACAAGGAAGUAACUGAAGGCAUCGAUUUCAAGUCUCUUCUGAGGUUGUAGAAACGUUAAAGCAACUUAUUCUUCAUCAACUGUUGUGGCUAGGAGGAACAUUCAUGCAAACUUUUUAGUUUGGGAAGAGAACCAUGAAUUUGA